CAAGACCUUGCGCCGAUGGAUGAGCCGAAGUCGGAUUAGCUAGUUGGUAGGGUAACGGCCUACCAAGGCGACGAUCCGUAGCUGGUCUGAGAGGACGACCAGCCACACUGGGACUGAGACACGGCCCAGACUCCUACGGGAGGCAGCAGUGGGGAAUUUUGGACAAUGGGGGCAACCCUGAUCCAGCAAUGCCGCGUGUGUGAAGAAGGCCUUCGGGUUGUAAAGCACUUUUGUCAGGAACGAAACGGACUAGGCUAAUACCUUGGUCUAAUGACGGUACCUGAAGAAUAAGCACCGGCUAACUACGUGCCAGCAGCCGCGGUAAUACGUAGGGUGCAAGCGUUAAUCGGAAUUACUGGGCGUAAAGCGUGCGCAGGCGGUUUUGUAAGUCUGACGUGAAAUCCCCGGGCUCAACUUGGGAAUU
rnacentral:rRNA from 1 species